rnacentral:rRNA from 1 species
GUGCCAGCAGCCGCGGUAAUACCGGCAGCCCGAGUGAUGGCCGAUCUUAUUGGGCCUAAAGCGUCCGUAGCUGGCUGCGCAAGUCCGUCGGGAAAUCCACCCGCCCAACGGGUGGCCGUCCGGUGGAAACUGCACGGCUUGGGACCGGAAGGCGCGACGGGUACGUCCAGGGUAGGAGUGAAAUCCCGUAAUCCUGGACGGACCGCCGAUGGCGAAAGCACGUCGCGAGAACGGAUCCGACAGUGAGGGACGAAAGCUGGGAUCUCGAACCGGAUUAGAUACCCGUGUAUCC